UCACUUUCUCUCUCUAGCAGCGGCGCCCUCUCCCUUCUCUCUAAAAAUCUCUUCUCUCUUCCGGCGCCGGCGUCUUCCCCUCUCUUCUCGCCGACCUCUCUCUCUCUCUCCCUACUUGCCGGCAGAUCUCUCUUUUCUCUCUUCCGAACGACAAAUCGGGCACCCCCUUUCUUCGGUCGGCGGCGACCCAAACGGGCCUGAGUUUUCUCCCGGAUCUCACCCUUUUCUCCCUGUUUUUCUUUGUGUUGUUUCUCUCCCCUUUUUGUGGCUAACUGCUGUCUGUUUCUCUUUUUUGCAGGGUUUUUAAAGAGCCGGGUUGUCCAAAAAAUUGGACAACCCGGCGAGGGGGGUUCUGGCACCCCUGGAGUUGGUGGCCAAAACCCCCCCCCCCAUCCCGCGUAGUGGGUGGGGGAUGGGACGGCG
rnacentral:lncRNA from 1 species